AGAGUUUGAUCCUGGCUCAGGACGAACGCUGGCGGCGUGCUUAACACAUGCAAGUCGAACGGAAAGGCCCCUUCGGGGGUGCUCGAGUGGCGAACGGGUGAGUAACACGUGAGUAACCUGUCCUGGUCUCUGGAAUAACCGCCCGAAAGGGUGGCUAAUGCCGGAUGUUCCCGCGUUGCCGCAUGGUGGUGUGGGGAAAGUUUUUUCGGACUGGGGUGGGCUCGCGGCCUAUCAGCUUGUUGGUGGGGUGAUGGCCUACCAAGGCUUUGACGGGUAGCCGGCCUGAGAGGGCGACCGGCCACACUGGGACUGAGACACGGCCCAGACUCCUACGGGAGGCAGCAGUGGGGAAUAUUGCACAAUGGACGCAAGUCUGAUGCAGCGACGCCGCGUGAGGGAUGACGGCCUUCGGGUUGUAAACCUCUUUCGGCAGGGACGAAGCGCAAGUGACGGUACCUGCAGAAGAAGCGCCGGCCAACUACGUGCCAGCAGCCGCGGUA
rnacentral:rRNA from 1 species